AUUGAACGCUGGCGGCAGGCUUAACACAUGCAAGUCGAGCGGGGGAAGGUAGCUUGCUACUGGACCUAGCGGCGGACGGGUGAGUAAUGCUUAGGAAUCUGCCUAUUAGUGGGGGACAACAUCUCGAAAGGGAUGCUAAUACCGCAUACGUCCUACGGGAGAAAGCAGGGGAUCUUCGGACCUUGCGCUAGUAGAUGAGCCUAAGUCGGAUUAGCUAGUUGGUGGGGUAAAGGCCUACCAAGGCGACGAUCUGUAGCGGGUCUGAGAGGAUGAUCCGCCACACUGGACUGAGACAAGGCCCAGACUCCUACGGGAGGCAGCAGUGGGGAAUAUUGGACAAUGGGGGGAACCCUGAUCCAGCCAUGCCGCGUGUGUGAAGAAGGCCUUAUGGUUGUAAAGCACUUUAAGCGAGGAGGAGGCUACUUUAGUUAAUACCUAGAGAUAGUGGACGUUACUCGCAGAAUAAGCACCGGCUAACUCUGUGCCAGCCGCCGCCGUAA
rnacentral:rRNA from 1 species